GAUGAACGCUGGCGGCGUGCCUAAUACAUGCAAGUCGAGCGAACGGACGAGAAGCUUGCUUCUCUGAUGUUAGCGGCGAACGGGUGCGUAACACGUGGAUAACCUACCUAUAAGACUGGGAUAACUUCGGGAAACCGUAGCUAAUACCGGAUAAUAUUUUGAACCGCAUGGUUCAAAAUUGAAAGACGGUCUUGCUGUCACUUAUAGAUGGAUCCGCGCUGCAUUAGCUAGUUGGUAAGGUAACGGCUUACCAAGGCAACGAUGCAUAGCCGACCUGAGAGGGUGAUCGGCCACACUGGAACUGAGACACGGUCCAGACUCCUACGGGAGGCAGCAGUAGGGAAUCUUCCGCAAUGGGCGAAAGCCUGACGGAGCAACGCCGCGUGAGUGAUGAAGGUCUUCGGAUCGUAAAACUCUGUUAUUAGGGAAGAACAUAUGUGUAAGUAACUGUGCACAUCUUGACGGUACCUAAUCAGAAAGCCACGGCUAACUACGUG
rnacentral:rRNA from 1 species